GUCUACGGCCAUACCACCCUGAACGCGCCCGAUCUCGUCUGAUCUCGGAAGAUAUCUAGGGAGCAGAGUUUAUUUAUAGCUGAACUGGAAUCCAGACUACAUAAGAAACUCUUAAAGCCAGAGGUC
rnacentral:rRNA from 1 species